GGGGUUGUGGCUCAGUGGUAGAGCACUUGCCUAGCAUGUAAGAGACCUGGGUUCUAUCCUUAGCACCA
rnacentral:tRNA from 1 species